CCUGGCAACCGCUCAGGUCCUAGGUAACCCCGAGCAGGCUGUGGGGGAUCGUGGGAGCCUGGGGGCCGCUCAGGUCCUAUGUAACCCCGAGCAGGCUGUGGGGGAUCGUGGGAGCCUGGGGGCCGCUCAGAUCCUAGGUAACCCCAAGCAGGCUGUGAGGAGAUUGUAGGAGCCUGGGGGCUGCUCAGGUGCUGGGUGACCCCAAGCAGGCUGUGGGGGAUCGUGGGAGCCUGGUUGGCUGCGGCACUGCUCAUGAGUGAAGUAGCCAUGGCCCGGACCCGACCCUCAUCUGGACACAGGGAAGUGGUCCUGAUGGACAGGCCUGGCCCCAUGAGGCUGGAAGCACAGGCUCGCCGGCCUUUCGUUCACAACAAUGUAGCAGGUGCCCCGUGAAGCCUGGGGAUGAGCAUGGUGGGCAGCGUGCACCAGCCUGGGCACCUUCCAGAGACGUGCACGGUGAUCCCACGAGCCCUGUGCCUGCAUCCGCCCAGUCUCACCCAGUACCCUCGCUCACCCAGGAUGCAUGGCGCUUCCACGAGCCCCUUGCCCACCUAGGCCCUCGCCGUGCUCACCCACAAUGCACGGUGUUCCCACGAGCC
rnacentral:lncRNA from 1 species